rnacentral:lncRNA from 1 species
AUAAUAUAUAUCCAAUCCGACUAGAAAUAUAAAAAAUUGGUGCUUCUAAAUUUUUAAUGCUUGAAUCAAUCUCUUUGAUCAUUUCUAAUUUUUAGAUUAAUAUUAUUCUCUUAAUAAUAUUAGGUUGGGGGUUAAGAAGUGGAAUAACUCCUUAAUCCCCAUAUUAUUCCCAAACACCCCAAAAAAUAGGUCGGGUUAGCUAACCUCACCUCAAAUGGGCUAUCCCGGGUUAGCUAACUCCACCAAACCCCACCAAACCCCAACCAAACACUAUUUUCUAUUCAUAAUCCAACCCAACACUAUUUUUCACUAUCCUGUACUAACUCCAAUCCCAAACCAAACACAAAAAUACUCUAACCCCACCUUAACCCUAAACUUAAUCCUAUCUAUGGAAUAACUAGUUUUUUCUUAAUUCCGAACCAAACGGUAGCCUCCAUUUUUCUGCAAAUUUUCUAUUUUGUGAUAACUUUAGAAAUUUUUUUUUAAAAAAAAAUUGUUUAGAUCUUGAUUACUGAUUUCGGAAAUAGAAGAGCUGUUUUGGUGUUUAAUUCUGCUAGGAAAAAAAAAAAAUCGUUAAGGAGACUCGUUGCUACAUGUCAUUUUUAUCCCCUAUUAAAAAAUUAUAAUUUUUUCUAAGAUUUUAUUUAUUUUUUAUUUUAGUAUCAAAAGAUACUGAACGAAUUAUAGAAUACGUACANAAAGGAAAAAAGAAAAAAAAAAAGUCUCAUUUCAAAUCUUACAUGACCUAGAGUACAUUUUGAAAUGAGUCUUUAAUUAUUUUUGUUUUAGCACAAACCUAAUUUUGUAAUUAGAUUCUUAACCUUUACGACUAAUUGCACUAAUGUUCCUUUUGUCAGUUUAGUCAUUAACAUCGUCAACCAUACACCCGCGCAUCACAUCAAGUCUCACUUCAGCAUCGUUAAUGUCGUUUUCCACGGCUAUGAGCAUCUCAACUUGGUGCCAACUGUUUCUUUUAAAGCAUUCGGCGUCUUUGCAUCAAAGAAGUCUUGCCAUCAAAUUCUUUCAAAAAUUUAAAGAAGUCUAAGCCCAAACUGAGCAUAAGCUAUGAGACUAUGACUGAAAUUUAUGAGAGCAAACUUGAUUUUAUUGGAAUUGGUGUGGCAUUUUCCAUCAAAACUAAUAGAAAUUCUGAUGGUCAAAACCCAACUGCAAUAAAAUAUAAAGGUCAGGCAGCGUUUGGUUAGGAGAUAGGAAUAGGAAUAGGCCCUUAUCCCCACCAACACCUUCAUUUUUUAUAUAAAACCACUACAACAGAAUUAGAUUAUAGAGACACAUGUUUGGGACACUUUUGAGUAAGUGUCCCAUUUAUGUUAAAACUUAAAAAAAUAUCUACUAAUGCCUAAAUAUAAAGCCCAAUCCAACCAAAAAUAAAAGAUUUCUCUACUCAACCCACCACGCCCAGUCCAUUUGGCCCGAUUACAAAUAGAAAAGAAAAAAAAAAAAUCAAUUACCAUAUUUUCUUCUCUCUUCACUCAAUCCACUGAAAUUCUAGACGAAGAGCCAUUCCUGUCGUCCUCCUCCGCCACCGCAGCUAACGAGAUAGAGUUUCGGCAGUUGCUAAAUGCUUAAAUAAGUGUUGGUAAAUUAGCAGCAUUUUUUUAGGUUAUAGCGACACUCUUUAACUGUCACUAUAUACCUAGCAACCCUACAUAUAGCAACACUUUUUAAAAGUGUCGGUAAUUUUAGCUAGCAGUACUUUUUUGACAUGUACAUAUAUUUAAAAGUGUCGCUAUAGACCGUUUUUGUUGUAGUGAACUGUCUAAAAUUGUUCUUAUUCCCGAGAACAAUCCAAUUUUCAUCCAAACAUUAUUUUUCUUAUCCCCAUACUUGUACCUAUCCCUGUAAUAGCUAGUUUUUGCUUAUAUCCGAACCAAACGGUACCUGAGAACUAGUAGCAAAAAAAUUAAAAAAAGUUAGGAAAUAAAGUGAAAAGGCGGAUAAAGGUUAAGAACAAAUUGUGGAAUUAAUUCCUUAAUUUAAGUACAGGUCUGGCCCGUAUAGUAUUAGAUACAUGUUUGUUGAGGCCUGGCCCAUUUAUUAUAUUGAAACUCGCAGAAACAAUCCACAUUCCCAGCCCAUUCAAGUUACAACUCCGAUCCUUUAAAAAAAAAAAAAAAAAAGAUAAAAAAUUAUAGGCUAAUGUUUAGGUUUGUUAUUUAUUUAUUUAUUUAUGUUGAAGGAAUCAAAAGGUUUAAAUUUGGGCAGGACAAUACUGUAUCUCCUGUCUCUCGUGCAAUCGAUCCAAAUUAAGGUGGCAUCAUUAGUUAAGGUGAAAAAGAGAUCAAGUAAUUAAUUAAUCACGUACGUAGGUUAAUUAGCUCAGAUAAAAAGGCAUAAAAGGAUCUCAAAAUGCAUAUUGAUUAUUCCAACCCGAGCAAAUUCAAAUAUCUUGUACACAAAAAAUGGCGGAAUUAAUAAUGUUGUACUUUUGUAAUUUAAACCUUAGUAAAUCUUCUGGUGGACUUUUUUUUUAAGAGAUAAAGUAGCAAGUUAUUUGUUUCAUUCAUUAGAAAAAUAAAUUUAGCUGCAGAAGUCAGACAGCUAGGCUUUAAAAAAAAAAUCACCGAGUUAAGAGAUGAAAACAAAAAAUGCAAACAAGCAGAAGAAAGUAAAGGCACAAAAAAAAAAAAGGAACAUCCAAAUAAAAUGAGAGACAUUCAAAUUAAAUGAUCUUUAAUUAUUAAUAGUAUAAGGGUUUAGAUCACAAUAGGACUCAUAAUCUAAAGGGGUUUUAGCUACUAAAAGAAAAAAGAAGUUGAAGUUUCUGCUUAUAUUUUUUAAAGAAUAUCCACUAUGGCACUAGUGCUUAAACCCCAAUUUAAAAUGAUGCAAAAAUAAAAAAGAAUCAAGAAAAUAGAGAAAAGGGCGAAAACAAGCAAUUUAUGUGGUGCGUGCUCAUAUACCGUUUUGAAGUUUAGUUGAUCUUGCGAAGAUUUUACUAUGACAAAAUAAUAGUUUCUCAGGAAUAGGGGUGGAAACGAGCCGAGCUCGAGCGAGCUUAUCUUGGCUCAAAUUCGGCUUGAAAUUAAUUUCGAGCCUAAAUUUAAGCUCAAGCUUGGAUUGGAAUUAAUUCGAGCUGAGCUCGAGCGAGCCUAAAUUUGAGUCGAGCGAGCUCGAGCCCUAAACAAGCUGCUUGAAAUUCUCAACAUCAUACGAUCAAUAGUUUAAUUUGUAUAGAACAUUAUCUAUAAUUUGAUACAAAAUUAUGUCUAAUAGUUCAAAGUACAAAAUAAUUAUAUGAAAUAUAAUAUUAUAAUAUGAAAAAAAAUAAUCCUAUGAGUUGAAUUCUAAUCUUUCCGCCCUCCACCUGUCUUUUCUUCCGCUUCAAUCUCAUAUUAUUCAUUUUCAUUUAUGCAAUCAAAAAUAAAUAAAUUAUAUAGAUAAAUAUUGGAUUAAACUAUCCAAUCAUAUAUAACUAAAAUUAAAAUUUUAUAUGAAUAAUAAUUUUUACUUUAAAAAUAUUUUGUAUAUUUUUGAAGCAUACAAUUAAUAGCCAGGUAGGCAACGGCGGGUAUAUGCUGUUACUUGAUAAUUUGGAGGCUUCCGACUUGCACUUAAGGUCAGAGACAGAAAAAAAGAGAAAGAGAGAACAUAUUGAAAAUUUAGAGCUCUGUAAAGAAAAAAAAGAAAGGAAAAAUGUAUAAAUUUAGUGAAAUUUUGCUUUUUUAUUUUGUCUAUUGGGUUUUUUAUGGGCCAACAAUAUUCGCCCAAUUUUAACUAAAACUCAGAUUAUUCACUCAGCACUCAGCCUAUAUAUAAUUAAAAUAUAAUAUAUUUAUAUAAUUUUAAAUAAAUAAUAUAUAUAUAUAUAUAUAAUAUAUAUAUAUAUAUAUAUAAUAUAUAUACUAUAUAUAAUAUAUAUACUAUACUACCUUCGCAGCUUUUUGAGCUUUUCGAGCCUAAUUCGAACGAGCCGAGUAAUACUCAAGCUCGGCUUAAAAUGAAUUUCGAGCUUUUUUUUUGUUCAAGCUCGGCUCAUUUAAUUUCGAGUCGAGCUCGAGCGAGCCAAAUAUCGAGUCGAACGUGAGCCGGCUCGCUCAUUAGCCAGCCCUACUCAGGAACCUCUUACCCCCCAAUGCACAAAAUGGUUUCGUCAUACGAGAAUCAUGAAAGAAGUAUAUAUUGAAUAUCCAUAAAUAUAUAUGAUUAGAAAAGAACUUAUCAAUAUCGAACACUUCUAAUUACGAAGAACAACAACUCCUUACGGAUCAACUGGUUGAGAGACGAAAACAGAUCAAGUGGCAGAUGUCUAAGGUGAUCCAGGAUGAGGAGAUUUUGUGGAAGUCGCGUGCGAGGCAACACUGGCUCAAAGAGGGAGAUGGAAAUAUGAAGUUCUUUCAUGCUAUAGCUAAUGGGAGGAGAAGAGAAAACACCAUAGGAACAAUUGAAGACGAGGGAAAGACAAUACAGAGGGAGGAAGAUUUAAGGGAAUAUUUCUAUUCACAUUUUAAAGGGCUGUUCGCACCUGUAGACGGCGAUAGGGGGUCAGUAGGCGAUUGGAGCGAGUUUUUCUCCGAUAGGCCCUUACUAAACCACAGCAACCUCACUCAGCCGUUCUCUAUGGAAGAGAUUAAGCAAGCGACUUUCCAACUCGAAGGAGACAAAGCACCAGGCCCGGAUGGUUUCAAUCUCAUAUUUUUUCAGGUGUUCUGGGACACACUCAAGGUGGAUCUGUUCAACAUAUUCCGUGAACUGUUUGAGGGGUCCCUAAGUACCAGGCCCCUCUUUAUUCUUACAUUUGUUUAAUUCCGAAGAAGGAAGGGGCGAAGACGGCUAACGAUUUUCGACCUAUCAGUCUGAUUAAUGGAGUUCAAAAAAUUAUUUCGAAAGUACUUGCAAAUAGGCUGGAAGGUGUGCUGCAUGGUAUUAUUUCUCCUUCACAAACUGCUUUUCUUAAGGGAUGUUUGAUCCUAGACUCGUUUGCAACCGCAAGUGAAGUGGUAAACUGGUGCUCAAAAACGGGUGUAGAGAGUGUCGGCGUAAAAGCAGAUUUCGAGAAAGCGUACGAUAGAGUGAGCUGGGGCUUUCUCCUGAAGAUCUUGACGUGGCUCAGGGCCGCGCCUAUCUGGUGCAGUUGGAUUGAACAAUGUACAGCCAAGGCGAAAGUCGGCGUACUUAUUAACGGCACCCCGACCAAAUGGAUUAAAACCAAGAGGGGACUUCGCCAGGGCGAUCCCCUAUCACCCUACCUAUUUCUAUUAGUUGCGGAAGGACUGGCGAGAGCGAUGAAUAAAGCGGUUAGCGGUGGCCUGGUGAAAGGCAUAGGGCCUAAUUCCGACACCAAAGUAGCUUUUAUUCAGUACGCUGACGAUACUCUCUUCUUCUGUGAGGCUAAGAAAAGACAAGUGAAGAACCUUCGCUUUGUAUGGCAUAUCUUCGAGUGGGCAUCGGGAUUGAAAAUUAACAGGAGCAAGUUCGAACCUUUUUAUUUAGAUAGGAACAUCCAGAUAGGAGAUAGAUUGGCUGAAAUUUUAGGGUGCAAGGUGGGUGCUUUCCCUACGAAAUAUUUGGGGCUUCCACUAACGAACAAAAGACUGUGCAAAUCAGAUUGAUGGCCAAUUAUCAACAGGAUUGAACGUCGGAUAGAAGGAUGGCAAGCCAAACUUCUUUCCACUGGCGGCAGGCUUGUUCUGGUCAACUCAGUAUUGUCGAACUUACCCCUCUAUUUCUUCUCAGCGUUCAGAGCACCAAAAUGGAUUAUCAAACAUAUUGAAGCACUUCGGAGGGCUUUCUUUUGGAAAGGAAGGAGUACCGUGUUAGGAGGGCAAUGUUUGGUACGGUGGAAGACGGUUUGUAGGAGCAAAAGAGAGGGCGGCCUUGGGGUCCUGGAUCUACAGAAUAUGAACAUGGCGUUACUAGCUAAAUGGUGGUGGAGGUACUUUUUGGAUAAGAAUACUCUCUGGAGAAAUUUCGUAAGAGGGGUGUAUUAUAAGAGGAGGAUACCCCUGAGAGAAGGGGUCUCUUUUAAACCGUUCUCCCAGUGGUGGCAAAGUGUAUUGUCGACUAGAGAGAUUUUCCGCUGCGGGGUCUCCUAUAGUAUAGGGGAUGGUAAUUCCGUGAGCUUUUGGAGCAACAGAUGGUGUGCUCAAUUGUCUCUUCUUUCGAUGUUCCCCGAUAUUUUCAAUGCCGUAGUUAUGAAAAACCUUCGAGUGCGGGGGUUUAUAGGCACGAACGGCUGGAAGUGGCAAAGGAUAUUUCAAGGGUUUACGGCAGAAUCCACAUCAGAUGACAACUCAAUCCUGGCGUUGAAAGAUCUAGUAAACUCCUGCAUCCUUUCUGAAUGUGAGGAUGAAGCUAGAUGGAGAUGGUGUAACUCCGGAAUCUUCACAGUUAAAUCUUUGUACAAUUUUCUACAGAAUGGUGGUGUAUCUGAGGCGAAGUUUGCGCUGCUGUGGAAAAGUAAAAUUCCGACUAAAGUGAAAAUCUUCGGGUAGCUAGUCUUGUUGAAGAGAGUACUCACUAAGGACAAUCUCGCGAAGAGGGGAUGGUCGGGUGAGGCCACGUGCACUUUAUGUCUGGAUGAAGCUGAGACUGUUGACCAUCUUUUUUUAAAGUGUUACGUUACGCACGCGCUUCUGGAGUGCUUAUUGCCUAAUAAGGGCUUCCUAAGGGCAUGCCAAUCUUUAGACAGUCUCUGGAAUGAGUGUCGGGGUAAACGAGGAGCGGCAGGAAGGAAGGAGGCAGUUAUCUUACUUGCUACUUGGUGGGCCAUCUGGUCAGAGCGAAAUGGAAGAAUUUUCGAUAAUAGGAAGCUCACGGUAAAUCAGGUGUUGAUGAAUCUGCGGGCUACUAUUGUUUUGUGGGAGGAGUACUGCGUUUAGCGCUUCUUUUUUUUUUCUUUUUUUUUUUUCCAUUACUCGAAGCCCAGCUGCUUCUAUCCAUUGCUAAAUUCACGCUCUUCAUGAAUGAAGUGGUAGCAUGCUACCUUAGCCCUCAAAAAAAAUUACGAUAGGAGAGAGGACUAUUGGAGUGUACAUCAAAUGUAUGAUCAAGAUACCAUCUCAAUCCUAUUGUUGUUGCUCGAUUGUAUGUAUAUAUGCAAACUGCUAUAAACCUAUAAAUUUGAUCCAAAGCAAGAAGAGUCCCUACUUUCCUUUAGAAAGCAAGACAAUGGACUAACUGGUGUUUGGCAUUUAUCGCUAUCAUCCGCGAAUCAUGGUUGUUGCAGCUCAUUCACGAGGGGCAUCAUGAGAUCGAAAGACAUUUCAAACCCCCCAAUGAAUAAAAAUGACCAAUUAAUUCCUAACUAUACAUGAUCUGUGUCUUAAAAUGAGAACUAAAACAAUGGCGUGCUCACCUAGUUGUGUUACUCAACUAGCAAAUUAUGUGGUACGUACUUCAAAUGGAUUAUGGUAGGGGUUUUUCUUUAGUCUUUUAUGUAUCGUUUUGUCAAGAUUAUGUCUCUUAAGACAUGCUUUUACAUGUUAGAUAUCUUCUUGUUUGGGAGGAUGCUCCUCAACAAAUAUAUAUAGGAAUGAGCACAACAACUUUUUUUCUGCCUCCAAAUGAUUAUCUUAUUAGGAUCCUAGAGCUUUGUUAAUCUCACUAGCUAUGGAAGCGAAUAUAAUGUGAUUUGAGUUGUUGAUUGCUUUCUAUCAGUAUGUCAAAGUUUCCAAAACUAUGUAUAGUUCCAAAAAUAGUCAAAAAUUAGUUCGGCAAAAUCCACAAAUGUAAUGCAUGCAAGUACACUAAUUUGAAGGAUAACCACAACAUUUAUAAUUAGAUUUCACUAAUGUAAUGCAUCCCCUUUUUCUUUUUCUUUUUUUAAAAAAACGAAAACCACAACAUUUAUAAUUUGUUCACUUGAGUAUACUAGUCAUAAUUAAUGCAUGCCCGAAUCACUUCAAGGCCCUGUGAAUAAUAUGUAUUUAUGGAAAUUCAUUCAAUUUUGACUCCAGUAUUAUAUAUUAAAAUUUUCAUUCAUCUAGUAACUAUUUACUAAAAAGUAAUAUUACAUGUGAAUUUUUAAAAAUCUCUCUUUUUACAAGUAAAUUAUGUGAAAUAGUCAUUUGAGCUGCCAUCAAUAUGUCACUCUCAUUCUUCUUCGUAAAAAAAAAAAGGAAAAAAAAAAAGAGCCACAAAUUCACCUUUUAGAAAGUAAUUAAAAAGUCCAUUAAAUCAUCCUAUUAGCUAUCAAGAAUAAAAAAAAUUUGUCUGAGCCCAUAACUCGCUCAAAAUUGUUUUUAAGCACAAGCUUUUCCUAUAUUAAUUAAAGGAAAAGUUAGAAAAAUCGGAAAAAAAAAAAAUUUCAUUAGCACAUGCAGGAGACAAACAUUGGCAAAUUUUUUAGAAAAAUGCUAAGUCGACAAUCCAAAAAUACCGUAAUAUUAUGCAACUUUCCAUCCAAAGUAUAUUUUUUUAAAAAUUUUAGCAUUAAGAAAAUAAUAAAACUAGUAUAAAAAAUUGACUCUUUGAUGGGCAUAUUGUUAUUAUUACAACAAAAAACGUACGUAAGUGGUUGUAAAUCUAGCGUAUACUCAAUAUUUUAAUUUCUUUCUCUCGUUGCAUCUUUUCCGCGAUCAGAUGCAAUUAGACGUGUGUUAGAGAGAGAGAGAGAGAGAGAGAGAGAAAUGAAAAAAAAAAAAAAAAAAAGAGUAUCCGUGCAAUGACUCCGUGUUAAUUCACGCUGGUAAUAAAAAAGGAUGCACGUACACGAGUGAAAAUUACUGGAUCAACUACUUAAGCAUGCAUGCAAACAUAUAUGCAUGCAUGUACUCCGUUACAGCCAAUCACGAGCUGUUGCUUAGUUAGUGGGACCCACCCCAAAGAACGAUUUCCAAUGGCUAGUGAUCGGUUUUCACUUAACCAACGGUUAGAUUGAGGUGCCUUCGUUCAUACGUUGACUUCAAUAAUAAACUUACGUUUGUAGUUAUCAUCAUCUUAAUCCACAGCUUAAGCAUCACCAUCUUUUAAUACAGGUUUUAGCUUCUAAGCGCACGUCUUUAUUUAAAUAAAUUAAUAUUUGACCAUUAGUAUGCUGUGAAUUUGUUCUAAUUAAUCCUGGAAAUUAAUGCUUAAGCUUUUGUUAUUAGAGUUGGUGAUUGUAAGCUAAUGCGAGAACUUAACGAAGCUCUGUCCUUGUAAUUAAGGGACAAAAACCUCGAUCCAUUUUAAUGCACAUGUAUACGUACACAAAGUAGUAUUACACGGAGAGAGAAUGAAGAGUUACGUAGGGUGUAGAUAAGAAGAUAAAAGAAUACACCCUUUCUCCGCUAUACACAAACUCAAACCUUGUAUUUGAGUUAAAACUAUAAAUUGAAGGAUAAAUAAACAAAGAAACAAAACUCUCUAUUUUUCCUUAUAAAACCCACAACAACUUCUCUUGUUUCUCCCUACCCUCAAUACUACUGCUUAUCCACCUCUCCCUCUCUCUCUCUCUCUCUCUCUCUCUCUCUCUCUCUCUCUCUCUCUCUGCCCUCAUGGGGGAGGAAGCUAACUACAACAACAUGGAUAGGAUGAUAAAUAGUAGCCAAGAGGCGGAGGUGAGGAAGGGGCCAUGGACCCUGGAGGAAGAUCUCAUCCUCAUCAACUACAUCACACACCACGGGGAGGGUGUCUGGAACAAUCUCGCUCGCUCCGCGGGUAUACGCGUGCAUCGCGCAUGCAUGCUUUCUCUUCUUGCUUUCUAAUUCUCUCCUCCUUUUGAUCAUCUUUAAUUCUUUUCGUGUUGCUUUUAUUUUUUUUCUCGCAAAGGUCUCAACCGGACGGGGAAGAGUUGCCGCCUCCGGUGGCUGAACUAUCUGAGGCCGGACGUGCGGCGGGGGAACAUCACGCCGGAGGAGCAGAUGCUGAUCAUGGACCUCCAUGCUAGAUGGGGUAAUAGGUGAGCCAAGUUUAAAAAAGAGAGUAAAGAGUGGAGAAGAGAGAGAGAGUGAGAGAGAGGUUGGGGGUUGUGUGGGGGGAGGGUGGGGGGUAGGUUGGUGGGUUUGUGGUGAGAGGGUUUGGGGGAGAGAGAGUGGACGUUCAUGGUUUCAUGGGAAGUGAGAGAGAGGUUAAUUUAAUGCAUGGCUCAGUGUGAUGCUUUGUAAGAUGGCAAGAUAUGUGUGGUCAGGAUACUAAGCCCAUCUAGGUUAUGUAUCAUACGCUAAUACAAUGAUUAGCGUGCUCACACACUCUCUCUCUCUCUCUCUCUCUCUCUCUCUUAAGAGAGGGGAAGAGAGAGAGAGAAAAAACACGUGCAUGGAAACCCCUAGAACGCAAAGGAAUCGGGAAGGGCCGUUUCUAUUUCCAAGCAUGAAUUCGAUGUUUGUUAUUUUAAUGGAAUGUGUUCGUGAGGUGGGACUACAACGUGGUAGAGGUUGUAUUUUUGUGCAGCAUCUUUGAGUAGUUUUUUCUAAAAAAAUUUUAAAGAGAUUGGACAAAUUAUUUUUCUUUGUUAACUUUUCUUUAAGGAAAUUAAAGAGAAACUAAUAGAAGAAUUUUAAAUGGAGUGAAGCUUUACUUCUUUUCAUUCUUUAUAUAUUUUCUGUUAGUAGAUUUUUCGUGAUUUCGCUUGAUUUGGGUAAACUUAGUCUAAAUCCAUAUGUUCUAACAGAUUUUUUUCAGUGUACAAAUAAAAUUGUAUAUGUUGACAAAAGGAAAAGAAAAGAAUGCAAAUAUUUAAAGAAAUUGAAAUAUAAAAUUUUAUCAUUUCAAAUUGUAUUUGCUGUUAACUUGGAAAAUAUAUUAGUGAGGGAAAUAAUGUUUUUAAAGUUGGAAUAAAUUUUUUAAUAGAUCAUAUAUAAUUUGAUAUGGCAAAAGCCUUGUUUACUUAUUCUGUUUUUUCUUAUUCAUCAUGAAAAUCGGUGGUAAAAAAGUUUAUUUUUUUCUAUUAUUUUCUUUUAUGGAAAGGCAUCUUUUAAUAGAUAUGAAUUUAGCCGAUAUGUUUAGUUAGUUUUAUUUUGCUCCCUAACUAAUUCCACGUUCCAAAAAAAAAGAGAAAAAGAAAAGGAGAAAGAAGUCUCAGCCUCUAAUUCUUUAGUUUCCACAAUAUAAAGUAGUUUACAACCAUUCAUGUCUCACAUAUUUCACCAUGUAAUACAUGUGAUUGUGCCCUCUUUUCUUUUCUUUCCAAUUAUUUGUGUAAACUUUGACUUUUUUUCUGCAAAUCAUCAGGUGGUCCAAAAUUGCGAGACAACUGCCCGGGAGGACGGAUAACGAAAUAAAGAAUUAUUGGAGGACCAGAAUACAAAAAAAAGUUAAGCAUUGUGAGCAUGAUUACCAAAAUGUGAUGCUCACUGAUGAAGCUAUCCCGAGCACUAGCACAAGCCAACUAAAUAGUGUCGAAGAUGGUGCGUCAACCCAGCCGAACUACCCCGAAUACAAUAUGAUCGAUGCUGAGGCUCUCGAGGCACCUCAAUUCUCUAGUCACGAAUCCAGUGAUAACUUUUGGACUGUCGACGAUUUCUGGUCGAUGCAACCACUCAAUUGUGACUGAACAAAAUAAGUUGUGAUUCACACUUAUGGGCAUCAUGAGAACUUAAGAAUGAGGGCAAUUUCCUAUCACUAUGAUAUAUAGCUAGCUAUUAGUUAAUGUUGUGCUAAUUAAGUAAUAUAGCAAUAUAGCUAGCUAUUAGUUAGUAUCGUGCUAAUUAACUACGUACUUGCUCCUUGUACAAAAAUACCUACGAUAAACAUAAUCGUGCAUGUAAUAUUUUGUGUAAUAUUAUAUAUGAUUAUGGUUGAGUUUUUGUUGAUAUUUGGUUUGGACAUUGAGGUUCUAUAUGUAAAAGAUCAAGAGCUAGCCUAAUACAAAUAUUUUGCUCUUAUUGCGUGCUUUAUAUAGCUACUUGUAAUUUCACUAAUCGACGUAAAAUUGCAAGACUUAUUUUAUGUAAUUCCAAAGGAAAUCAUUCUAAAUGUACUUUGUCGAAUUAAAAUAAACCACAAGUUUAUGAAAAAGGAAACCAUGCUAGGUUUAAUAUCUUAGGUUAACAGUAAAUAAUUUUUUGCCACUUGGGUAAAUCUCAUAGAAUAACUUAAAUGGUAGUAAAUAUUUUUCCUCGAUAAGAAAUAUUCAUGUACUAACGCGAUCGGGACUGAUAUUUCUUUAAUAUAAUUUUCAAAAAUUAGUUUCACUUCAAAUUGAAAAGCCCCUCAUAGAUUGGUUUUUUAUUAAGCCCAAUGAUUAAUUUGUACUUCAACAAUAACAAUGAAAGUUCCUUCAGAGAAAAAACAUAUAUUCAUAGGAGGAUAACAUCAGCAACUUGUAUUUAUUAUGAACCAUCUAAAGAGGAAACAGAGUUGACUAAUCAGAUUUCGAGUGGUCCCAUCUCAUUGCCGACGAAGAGCAUAUGAAACUAGAGCAAAUUCAUCCAAAACUGCUUUUCAAAAAAAAAAAAUCUAAAGAAAAUCUAAUUUUUUGAUCCUUCAUUUAAUCAAUCAUUAAUUUUUUGAUUUGCUGGUCUUUUAUUUAUCCUAGAUACAAAUAAAUAUGAACACGAAUAUAACCAUACAAAAGUUAGAGAGGGGAAAGUGGAUAUAAACUUACUAAUUUGUAGUUCUAAAACUCAAGCUGCGUCUUCUAUUUAACACUCUAAGAUUGUAAAAUUUGAUUUAAGGUACUCAAAAUUGUGGAGUUGAAGCACAACUUUAUCAUCAGUAGAGAAAUUUCCAACUUCGUAAUCACAUGCAUGCUUUAGCUUUCAACUAGCUCACAAAGAAUUGAUGGAAUGCCCUGCACAUCCACAUGCAUGCAACCCUUGCAUGUCCCCGGCCAAGCUCAUCUCCAAACCUAACAAUUAAAUAAUAUACUUCCACAAUCGGAAAAAGUCUUUUUUUGUAACACUUAUUUCAGUCCGAUAUAUUAACAUCCAAUAAAAAAUAUUCACUAUACAUAAAAGUAGAAUAAUAAAAUUAUUCUUAAACGUUAUUUCUUCGAUAUAAGGUCAUCAUUUGCAUGACUCAAUAAGAUUGAUUAAGUGCAAAUUCUAUAUGAAAUACCACCUAUUAAGAAAAUAACUUUCUUCCCAAAGAGCAACACUAGGUACCUGUAUACGUGGGCAUAAAUUUUAUACCCUCUCCAUCCAAAAGUCUAUUUUUAUAAACUAAUCUUAUCUUACUCCUACAUUUUUAAUACUAAAAAGAUAAAAAUGCACAGAAUUUAUCUCAACUGCGAAUAAUUCUGAAUCGGUUAUGGAACAUGUUAAAUAUAAAAAUAUAUGAACACCAUUCUUUAACAACUUAAACUUUUAGAGUAUAAUGAUUGUUUCACAUGGUAUCAGAGUAGGAAGUCUUGAUUUCGAGUCACGUCAGGUUCCUGACACUAUUAAUUUUCUUCAAUUUAAUUCAAAUUCAUGUCAUAGGCUUUGCUUUUUAUUAAUUUUUUCCAAUUUAAUUCAAGUUUACGUUAUGGGCAUUGCAAAACAACCUCGAGUCCAAAUGUGAAUCCGAGGUUCGAACCUGGGGACUUUUUUGCAAGGAGCUUGAUGGUUGGUACCCGAGAUUCUAAUUAAGUUCGAAUCCUAGUUGAUUCACAUUUUCAGCUAAAUUUAUUUCUAAAUUCUAAAAGAAAUAAACGAAGCAUGCUACAUUUCUCUCAAAAAAAAAAAAAAGAUUGUUUCAUUUCAAUUUAUUUGAUUUAAGUUGGUCAACGAUACAUAGACUUUAAAUUUCUGACUCAAAUCAAACAAAUUGAAAUAUUGUACGGUAAAGUUAAAAUAAUAUAUUGUUUAGAUAAAUUCCAUAUAUUUUUACUAGCCGGAAAUUGUAAAAAAAGAUUGUGUGUAUGAGAUUUACACCUAACUCUUAGAUGCACUCGUGUCAUUUCUCCUUCGGAAAUAGAUAAGAGUAGAAUAUGAGUUAAAAUAUGAUUGGAAUAAAUCUCUUAAUAAUAGAAAUCUCGUGGUACAAAAUUUAGUCACGUUUACAUCCUCUCCUACAUCCAAACCCUAACCAUUUAGGGCAUACCGGAUCGAGCCUUUAAGAUGGCCCCUUUCCAUUUCCGUGCCCGACGAAGAGUACACGGAAAUGCGACACGCGCGCCUAACAAUUAGGCACGCCAUAGGCGGUUGCGCCCGACCAGCCUAAUUCCCCACGUGGCCCCCGGGGCGUCGUGGGACCCACCAGUCGCGUCCUGCACGUGCGGCACGUGCGACACGUGCGAGCUCCCGGGGCCAGAUAUUUGAUUCGAUCCAUCCGGAGCCACGAAAAAAAAAAGAAAAAGAAAAGAAAAAAGACAUGAGGUUGUGGGGAGCGCAUGGCACGUGCCGAAUUUGGACCGUUGGGGUAGGGUUUGGCGCCUCUUUAGUGUUUAAGUUGGUGGGGGUGCUCCACAGAGGCUGGUGCUGACGUGUUGCCAUUUUUGGAAAGGGGGGCUUUUGGAAAUGCUUUGAGUCACGUUUUUUUGAUGGGUCGAGGGAGAGGGCAUUGGGGAUGAGUGAGUGGAAGAAUAUUUGAGGUUUUUAUGAUACUAUACGUAUGCUUGGUUGGGAUUAAUUCUUGGAUUGAAAUUAUAUUAAAUUUUAUCAGUGAGUGAAAUUGAUUGGAAAUUAAAACUUCACACUCUGAUACUAUAUGAAACAACCUAUGUCUCAUUGUUUUUUUAUAAAAAAUUUGUAAACACUGAUUAUAUGUAAUUUGAAUUAUAGAUGGGAGGACCUCUUUCUUGCUGUCAUUUAUUGCUUAGCUUGUAAUGCAUUCUGGUCACUGAUGAAUUGAAUGACAAAUCGACCGUUCCUAUAGCAAGUGGCAAAUAAUUUGAUGGUUGGUACCGAAGGUCACAAGUUCGAAUCCUAAUUGAUUCACAUUUCUAGCUAAAUUUAUUUUUAGAAAAAAUAAACAAAGCGAAUAGCAUGCUACUUUUCUCUCUAAAAAAAAAAGAAGAAUUUAAGGACAACUUAUUUAAAAUAAAUUUCUUAGAAUACAUAUAAAAUUGCAAGCAAUCCACCAUUCCUUCUUAUGCAAAUUUAUAUAGAAAUUCAGUCUAAAAAAUCAAAGAAGCGGCAAUGAUCGUUGCUAAACAAAGCCUUAAUUUUUUUUCAAAAUCAUGUUUGUAUAUGGGAAUAAUUAUGUACAUAUCGAUGCUAAAAGUUUUCGUUUUGAUUGCGUGGCUUGUUACACCUUUCGGUGGUCAAGUUUGAUCUUUUGAAUCGAGAUGAGAGUUAAUUAAAAUGGUGUAACUCAGAGCUAUAUAUAUGUAACAGAGGUAAACAUAUUAAAAAGUAUCUGUGUUACGCUCUCUACCCUCCUAAAAUUAAAUUUUCAUAAUAGAGUUCAAAUUGCUAACUCAUGAUUGGCUAAAUUAUAUUUUAUAACAAGAAAAUAGUGAUAACCAAACUUCAAGUUACAGAUGAACAAAUACAAACUACACCGACUAUUCUUAAAACAAGUGGCAAAGCGCUUGGUGAUUGAUACCCGAGAUCCAAGUUCAAAUCCUAGUUGAUUCACAUUUUCAGCUAAGUUUUUUUCUAAAUGAAAUAAACGAAACGGGUAGUGUGCUAUCUAUAUCUCAAAAAAAAAAAAAACAAAUACAAACUACGAAAAGGUAAUUAGAUGGGAGCUGAUUUUUUCUUUUGUGGCGAGGAUGAAACUGAGCCUGGACCUGCUGGAUAGAACAAUCCUUUAGGUUUGACAUUGGAUACGCAAAAUUGAGCUUCGGGUUGGGGCCAAACUGUGAAAUUUAGGCCCCAAAUAGUAUUGAACCGGUUCGAGUUUAUCAAACCCCGGUUCGAGCCUAGCCCGAAGCCCAAAACUUUGAGUUUUGUUGUGACUGUGUGCGCGCGUAUGUUAUGAACAGGUUGUGCACAUAUACACAUACAAAAGUAUAUAUAUAUAUAUAUAUAUAUAUAUAUGUAUACACACACUAUUACAUAGCGUAUUGUAUUAAUAGUUCUAUAUAGUAUUUCUAUAUAUUUGUAUUACACAUGUAUUAAUGUUUUGGGAAAAUUUCAUAGGUACCCCUGUGGGAGACUGAAAUUUCAUCAAUAACCCUCUAAAGUUGAAAAUAUCAUGAAUGCCCUUCUAAAUUCAAAAAAUACUCAUGAAUGCCCCUACUGUUAACCGGCCGUCAAAAUCUAACCGAAUAAAUUAUAAAUGCCAUUUUUACCCCUGUACAGUUCAUUUAAGUAUAGAAAGCCUAAUUAGUAUAUUAACACUAUUCAUAAAUGCCCUCUUACCUUAGCAUUAAUUAGUUAUUUCCCGCCAAAUAUAUCAUUCUAACUUUUGGGAAGAAAUUUGUCAUUCUAUAUUUUAACUCUUAUUUAACUAUAUUUUAAUCNAUGAUAAUAUACAUAUGCUUGGUUGGGAUUAAUUCUUGGAUUGAAAUUAUAUUAAAUUUUAUCAGUGAGUGAAAUUGAUUGGAAAUUACAACUUCACACUCCGAUACUAUAUGAAACAACCUAUGUCUCAUUGUUUUUUUAUAAAAAAUUUGUAAACACUGAUUAUAUGUAAUUUGAAGUAUAGACGGGAGGACCUCUUUCUUGCUGUCAUUUAUUGCUUCGCUUGUAAUGCAUUCUGGUCACUGAUGAAUUGAAUGACAAAUCGACCGUUUCUAGAGCAAGUGGCAAAUAAUUUGAUGGUUGGUACCGAAGAUCACAAGUUCGAAUCCUAAUUGAUUCACAUUUCCAGCUAAAUUUAUUUUUAGAAAAAAUAAACGAAGCGAAUAGCAUGCUGCUUUUCUCUCUAAAAAAAAAAUAGAAGAAUUGAAGGACAACUUAUUUAAAAUAAAUUUCUUAGAAUACAUAUAAAAUUGCAAGCAAUCCACCAUUCCUUCUUAUGCAAAUUUAUAUAGAAAUUCAGUCUAAAAAAACAAAGAAGCAGCAAUGAUCGUUGCUAAACAAAGCCUUAAUUUUUUUCAAAAUCAUGUUUGUAUAUGGGAAUAAUUAUGUACAUAUCGAUGCUAAAAGUUUUCGUUUUGAUUGCGUGGCUUGUUACACCUUUUGGUGGUCAAGUUUGAUCUUUUGAAUCGAGAUGAGAGUUAAUUAAAAUGGUGUAACUCAGAGCUAUAUAUAUGUAACAGAGGUAAACAUAUUAAAAAGUAUCUGUGUUACGCUCUCUACCCUCCUAAAAUUAAAUUUUCAUAAUAGAGUUCAAAUUGCUAACUCAUGAUUGGCUAAAUUAUAUUUUAUAACAAGAAAAUAGUGAUAACCAAACUUCAAGUUACAGAUGAACAAAUACAAACUACACCGACUAUUCCUAAAGCAAGUGGCAAAGCGCUUGGUGAUUAGUACCCGAGAUCCAAGUUCAAAUCCUGGUUGAUUCACAUUGUCAGCUAAGUUUAUUUCUAAAUGAAAUAAACGAAACGGGUAGCGUGCUAUCUAUAUCUCAAAAAAAAAAAAAAAAAACAAAUACAAACUACGAAAAGGUAAUUAGAUGGGAGCUGAUUUUUUCUUUUGUGGCGAGGAUGAAACUGAGCCUGGACCUGCUGGAUAGAACAAUCCUUUAGGUUUGACAUUGGAUACGCAAAAUUGAGCUUCGGGUUGGGGCCAAACUGUGAAAUUUAGGCCCCAAAUAGUAUUGAACCGGUUCGAGUUUAUCAAACCCCGGUUCGAGCCUAGCCCGAAGCCCAAAACUUUGAGUUUUAUUGUGACCGUGUGCGCACGUAUGUUAUGAACAGGUUGUGCACAUAUAUACAUACAAAAUUAUAUAUACAUACACUAUUACAUAGCGUAUUGUAUUAAUAGUUCUAUAUAGUAUUUCUAUAUAUUUGUAUUACACAUGUAUUAAUGUUUUUUGUGUUUAUGGAUGCUACCAAAAGUGAGCGUAAAUCAGGUUCAAUGGUCGGAAGGCUCUGGGCUAGGCUAAUUUGCUUGAACAAUGUUUGGGUGAAGCCCAAUGUAAAGCCCAUUAGACUAUGCUGGGCUGAUUUAUUUGCACAAUUUGGAGUGGCCCUAUCCAAAACAGGUCCGGUUCCGCUGGUACUUUCCUAUGAGCAAAAUUAAAAAAAAAAGGGGGGGUUCAGUUGGAACUACAUCACUGCAUAAGGAAGUCCAACUACAGCAGUUAGAACUAUACACAAAUUAACCGUAGUUGCAAUUACAAUAAGAGGCCGUUUACUUGUAUAUAGUUGCAAUUACACUGCAGUUGUAACUGCAUGCAAAUACAAAUUCGGUGUUUGAUUUGAUAUAUUUAACUCUAACUGCUGCAGCAGGAACUGCAGAAGAAGGCUCAGCUGAAGUAAUUCGAACUACGCCCAAAUUGGCCACAAUUCCAACUGCAGCAAUUAGAAAAAGUAACUUUAAAUAAAAGGUAUGCUUACCUGUUCAAUUAUUUUUUAAGCAAAAAUUAUUUUUCUUUUUUACAUUAAGGGUGCGUUUGGUUCGCGCUAUCUUUUUAAGAUUCCUAAUAAUCCAAUAGGAAUAAAAAAAAUAUAACGGUGUUUGGCUAAACUCACUAAGUAAUUUAGUUGGUAAUACUGAACUUACUUGGGAAUGAGAUGCAUCCCAAAGUACUAAUCUCAUUCAUUUGAGGGAGGUGGGUAUCCUUAUAUUAAUUGAUUGGAAUAAUUAUAAUAUAUUUAAUUUCUUUCUUUCUUUUCACCCGCCGGUUAGUUGGUAUUAUUUUUCUUUACACUCUAACCUCAUAUCUCUCUCUAAACUUUAACUCUUUUUCUCUCUCUAAACUAAGUUAUUUCUCUCCCUCUUUUUCUAAAAUCUCGACCCUCUCAUUCUCUCUAACCUCGACUCUAUUUCUCUUUCUAUUUCUUUAAUUAUGCUCUCUCUUUCUAACUAUAUUCUCUCUCUUUUUUCUAAAAAGAUGUUGAAAUUUUUUAUAAUAUUAUUUAAAAUUAAAUAAAUAAAUAAAUUGUAUAUUGUUCGUAAUCUUAAAUAACAUGACUAAAUAAUAUGACCGUACGAACCAAACACCGAAAUACUACAUUCUUAGUAAUAGAAUGAAUAGGAAUAAGAUUCUCGGAUAUCUUUUUACGCCUAGUAAUCUUUCAUAGUGCGAACCAAACGCGCCUUAAAAGUAAUCUCACCAUCAUAUAUAUAAAAUGAUAAAAUUUUAAAAAUUAUUUAUCAACUGCUUGCAACCAAACAAAUUAUUUAUACUUGUAGCGCUUUCUACUACAUUUAACCAAACAGGAUGUAUGUAGUUGUAACUGCUGUAUUUUUAAUUACAUGCAUCUCUAACUACACUGUAUUUAUAAUUAUAUUUAACCAAACGGCCCCUAAAUGGAUAGAGUAAUUUCACUUUUUAAACAAAAAAAUAUUUCCUUUUCUAAAUUAGACAAAAUCUCACCAUCACAUAUAUAAUGUGAUAAAAUUUUAGAAAUAUAUUUGUCAGAUGCAUACAACUAAAUAAAUUAUUAAUAUUUGCAGCGCUUUCUAUUAGAUCAAAUCAAAUAAAAUAUAUGUAGUUGUCCCUGCUGUGUUUUCAACUGCUUGCAUGUUAAUGUACACUACAUUUCUAAUUAGGUCCAACCAAAUUGGCCCUAAUUAAAUGUUACAAUAUUGCACUACAAAAGUAAAGUUUAAAUGCUAUUAUAAUAUGAAAUUGUACAAUAAAACAGUUGGAGGCCCAUUUACAUUUUGGACCGUGUCUGGUUGUUCAAACUAAAAUUUUUGUUAGAAAAUCUUCUUUAUAAUAUUUAUCUCAACCAUGGUAAUAAUAUUUGAUUAAAGUCCUCCAAAUUGCACGAAAAUUGAAGAACAAAAUNAUAAACUGACGGUUUUUUAACAGAAGGGGUAUUUAUGAUAAUUUUUUAUAUUUCAAGGGGUAUGCAUGAUAUUUUAACUUUUGUAGGGGUAUCUAUGAAAUUUGUAAAUUUUAGAGGGGUAUGGAUGAAAUUGCCCCUAAUGUUUUUUGUGUUUAUGGAUGCUACCAAAAGUGAGCGUAAAUCAGGUUCAAUGGUCGGAAGGCUCUGGGCUAGGCUAAUUUGCUUGAACAAUGUUUGGGUGAAACCCAAUGUAAAGCCCAUUAGACUAUGCUGGGCUGAUUUUUAUGUACAAUUUGGAGUAGCCCUAUCGAAAUCAGGUCCGGUUCCGCUGGUACUUUCCUAUGAGCAAAAUUUUAAAAAAAAGGGGGGAUCAGUUGGAACUACAUCACUACAUACGGAAGUCCAACUACAGUAGUUAGAACUAUACACAAAUUAACCGUAGUUGCAAUUAUAGUAAGAGGCCGUUUACUUGCAUGUAGUUGCAAUUACACUGCAGUUGUAACUGCAUGCAAAUGCAAAUUCGGUGUUUGGUUUGAUAUAUUUAAUUCUAACUACUGCAGCAGGAACUGCAGAAGAAGGCCCAGCUGAAGUAGUUCGAAUUACGCUCAAAUUGGCCACAAUCAGGGGUGUAAACGAGCCGAACACGAGCGAGCUGGAGUCGGCUCCGUUAAGUCGCUCGUUAAUAAUCGGCCAAUACGAGCUGGCUCGUUUAAAGUAUCGACGCGAAAAAUUUUGGCUGACUAUUCGCUCGUCUUAUUAACGAGCGAACACAGUUGGCCAUUGAGCUGGCCAACAAACAAUAAAUUAAAAGAAUUAUAUAUUAAAAUAUAUAUAAAUAAUUUAUAAAAUUUAUCAUUAAGACUUUGAACUAAUAGUUGAAACUUUACAAUAAAAUGAGUCUUUUUAUAAUUAAGCCUCGUAUUUAUUUUUUAUUUUAUAAAAAAUUAAAUACUAAAAUAUAUUUAUAUUAAUUUAUUAUUUAUAUAAAAAUAUUAAAUAAAUGUAUAAAUAUAAAUAUAUUGUAUUCGAGCUGUUAUCGAGCCGAACACGAGAUGAGCUGAUCCCAGCUCGUGUUCGGCUCGUUAUUAAACGAGCUAAAAAAAUAGCUCGUGUUCGGCUCGUUUAUUAAACCAGCGAGCCGAUCUCGAGCUCAUUUCGACCGAACAGCGACUGGCUCGCGAACAAGCGAACCUGGAUUGCACCCCUAGCCACAAUUUCAACUGAAGCAAUUGGAGAAAGUAACUUUAAAUAAAAGGUAUGCUUAUCUGCUCAAUUAUUUUUUAAGCAAAAUUUAUUUUUUUUUUUUACAUUAAGGGUGCGUUUGGUUCGCGCUAUCUUUUUAAGAUUCCUAGCAAUCCAAUAGGAAUAAAAAAAUAUAACUGUGUUUGGCUAAACUCAUUAAGUAAUUUAGUUGGUAAUACUGAAUUUACUUGGGAAUGAGAUGCAUCCUAAAGUACUAAUCUCAUUCUUUUGAGGGAGGGUGGGUAUCCUUAUAUUAAUUGAUUGGAAUAAUUAUAAUAUAUAUAAUUUCUUUCUUUCUUUUCACCCGCUAGUUAGUUUGUAUUAUUUUUCUUUACACUCUAAUCUCAUAUCUCUCUCUAAACUUCAUCUCUUUUUCUCUCUCUAAACUAAGCUAUUUCUCUCCCUCUUUUUCUAAAAUCUCGACCCUCUCAUUCUCUCUAACCUCAACUUCAUUUCUCUUCCUAUUUCUUUAAUUAUGCUCACUCUUUUUAACCUAUUUUCUCUUUUUUUUUCCUAAAAAGAUAUUGAAUUUUUUUAUAGUAUUAUUUAAAAUUAAAUAAAUAAGUAAAUUAUAUAUUGUUCGUAAUCUUAAAUAACAUGACUAAAUAAUAUGACCGUAUGAACCAAACACCAAAAUACUACAUUCUUAGUAAUAGGAUGAAUAGAAAUAAAAUUUUCGGAUAUCUUUUUACUCCUAGUAAUCUUUCAUAGUGCGAACCAAACGCGCCCUAAAAGUAAUCUCACCAUCAUUUAUAUAAAAUGAUAAAAUUUUAAAAAUUAUUCAUCAACUGCUUGCAACCAAACAAAUUAUUUAUACUUGCAGCGCUUUUUACUACAUUUAACCAAACAGGAUGUAUGUAGUUGUAAGUGUUAUAUUUUUAACUGCAUGCGUCUCUAACUACACUGUAUUUAUAAUUACAUCUAACCAAACAGCCCCUAAAUGGAUAGAGUAAUUUCACUUUUUAAACAAAAAAAUAUUUUUCUUUUCUAAAUUAGAGGAAAUCUCGCCAUCACAUAUAUAAUGUGAUAAAAUUUUAGAAAUAUAUUUGUCAGCUGCAUACAACUAAAUAAAUUAUUAAUAUUUGCAGCGCUUUCUAUUAGAUCAAAUCAAAUCAAAUAUAUGUAGUUGUACCUGCUGUGUUUUCAACUGCUUGCAUGUUAAUGUACACUACAUUUCUAAUUAGGUCCAACCAAAUUGGCCCUAAUUAAAUGUUACAAUAUUGCACUACAAAAAUAAAGUUUAAAUGCUAUUAUAAUAUGAAAUUGUACAAUAAAACAGUUGGAGGCCCAUUUACAUUUUGGACCGUGUCUGGUUGUUCAAACUAAAAUUUUUGUUAGAAAAUCUUCUUUAUAAUAUUUAUCUCAACCAUGAGUAAUAAUAUUUGAUUAAAGUCCUCCAAAUUGCACGAAAAUUGAAGAACAAAAUUUUUUUAACAUAUUAUUUUAAUUACUAUAUUAUUUAUGAUUAGAUCUUUCACAAUCACAUGAUACAAUAUGAUGAUCUAUUUCGUAGCUCUAUUUGCGUGAUUAUAAAUAAAUAGUUUGAUUUUUGUUGCUUAUUUUAUAAUUUAAUAAGUUAGCAAAUUUUACUUGCAAGUUAAUUUACCUUAUUCAAAAAAAAUAACUUAUCAUUUUAUUUCAGAAAUUUAAUAAGUUUCUUAAGUAAAUCAAAAAAAUAUAUUAAAUAAAAUAUUCAGUCAUUUAAAUCCUAUGCGGCAUAAUUGUCACAGUAAAGAUUUUUCAAAUUUUGGAAGGAAAAUACACGGCUCAAAGCUCAGUUUUGCACGAUAUUUCGCAUAAAACUCCAUUUUGCAAGUUAUUAUGCACAAUAAUCACCUAGGAGUUGCUUGGUUUUUCAGAAAAUUAUAAAAACUAUUUUUCCGAAGAUAAGGUUUUUCACUGCAAAAUCUCUUUCGUAAAUUUUAUCUUUCGAAUGAAAACUUUAAAAAUAAGAAUUUUUAUAAAAUUAAAAUAAAAAAAGUAUUUUUUACAAAUUUAAAAAUCAAAAAUUAUUUUUUUCAGUAAAAAAGUUAUUUUAAAUUUUUUUUUAAAUUAAAAAUCAAGCUACCCGCUCCCUCGGCUCACACAAAGCAGCAGGCCGGCCUGCAGCGCCUGCGUGCGUGCCAGCCUGCUGUCUGCGCUGUAACCGCCGUUGGCGUCGAAACGGCUACUCUUUUUUUUCCCCGUCCUGCAGCCCUGCACGUUAUUUCCGUGCAAAGACAUUUCCAGAAUCGCAUACGUGGCACUGCCUCAGCUGGAAAAGCUGUUUCGAUAUAACUGCGCCUAAAAAUGCUAGCUCCAAAUCAUUUACUUCUAUUUUAUAUAUAUAUAUAUAUAUAGAGUUGGACUGGGCUACUAUUAGUAGCAAAAUUCUAUUAUUGCUACCAGUUUUUUAACUUUUGGAUCAACUCUUUUCAUCAUUUCUAACAAUCGGAUUAAAUACUAUAACCCGGUGGAGACCACUCAACUCUAGGGGACCACUCAACUCUAACUGAUUAAUAUCAUCCUAACCCUACAAUUUUUCAUCCAAUGGUUAAAAAUUUGAUAGCAAAAAGAGGAUUUUACUAUUAAUAGUAUUCCAGUCUAAUUCUAUAUAUAUAUAUAUAUAUAAUUGAGCUAGAAUAUUUUUAAAAGUAUCACUCCAUUGGUGCUUUUAGGUUUCUAGCUCUUGGAUCUACUCCUUGAUUACUAAUAACUAUUGGAUCAAACACUAUUCCACCUACCACCACCUACCACUACCUACCACCAUCAUCACAACCUUACAUUCCUCCAUCCAAUGGUUAAAAACUCAAAAGCACCAUCUCAUUGGUGCUUUUGAGAGUAUUCUAGCUCAACUCUCUCUCUCUCUCUCUCUCUCUCUCUCUCUAUAUAUAUAUAUAUAUAGGCUGAGGCUACUAUACUCUUAUGAGUAUAGACUUCCUGUACUCAUAAAUUUUUAACCGUUAAUUGAUGGGAUGUGUGGCUAGGAUGAUGAUGGUUCCCACUUAGAAUGAUAGUGGUCCCCUAGGGUUGAGUGGGUAGUUAGUUGAAUAGUAUGAUCUAACGGGUGGAAAUAAUUAAUGAAAUAAAUCUAAGGGCCGAAAACUUAUGAGUAUAAGGGGCCAAGGGGGUCAAUACUCAAAAAAGUAUAGUAGCCGAACUAU